rnacentral:rRNA from 1 species
UACGAAGGGGGCGAGCGUUGUUCGGAAUUACUGGGCGUAAAGGGCGUGUAGGCGGCUCCUCUUGUCGCGUGUGAAAGCCCCGGGCUCAACCUGGGAAUUGCGCGCGAAACGGGGGGGCUUGAGUUCGGGAGAGGAGCGUGGAAUUCCCAGUGUAGAGGUGAAAUUCGUAGAUAUUGGGAAGAACACCGGUGGCGAAGGCGGCGCUCUGGACCGAGACUGACGCUGAGGCGCGAAAGCGUGGGGAGCAAACAGG